AUGGACCGCGGCGGCAACGCCCUCAUCAGGAUCAGACGCAAGGGCUUCGGCAUGUUCAGGAGGUGGGAGGUCUGCCGGUAUGAGCAGGGGGAGGAGGCGACACCGUGGUUCACCGUGCGGCGGGCCAAGAAGGGCGAGGCCGCCGUUGCGAUGCACGGCGGCGCGAGGACCUGCUACAGGAUGGACGGGUGCCCUGCCCGCAAGACGGAGUACAAAGUCCGCGGCGUCGAUGGCGCGGCCGUGGCGGAGGUGGCCCCGAAGCAGACGGCGGCGGGGGUGGUGCUGGGCGAGGACGUGCUGACGCUGACGGUGGCGCCGGAAAUGGAUCACCUGCUCGCCCUGGGUAUGGUCGUGGUGCGUGGCCUCAUCAACCGCUCCUUGUGA
rnacentral:rRNA from 1 species